ensembl:lncRNA pregnancy-specific beta-1-glycoprotein 2-like
AGCUAAUCCGCAGUUCGGUGCCCUGCCCCCUCUGGCGGGUGCCCCCUUGGAGGCAGCACUAAGAGGAGGUGGGAUGCUGCUGUGAAGUGGGUGCCUGCUGGAGCGGGCAGGGCGCCGGACCACAAAUCAGCCGUGUGGCCUGUAAAUGAACUGUGCUGAACGACUGAAUCAGCGGUUCAUGGCCGUCUUUAAUCCGGAGUAUAUAGUCCACCCAAGUCCAUUGGCUAGUGCUGAUAGCUGUUGCAGCCCAAAAAAUAUCUGGGCAUUCCCAAAUUGCCUGCCUGCGCUUUAUGCCCACCCAGAAACUGAACAGGACCGAAAGAAGGGAAGGACACAAAAUCAGAAUCAUAGAAUCAUAGAUUAAUGGCGUUGGAAGGGGCCUACAAGGCCAUCCAGUCCAACCCCCUGCUCAAGGCAGGAAUACCAAUCAAGCAUAUAGGACCUCGUUGGUUUGUGGAAUAAAAUACAACAAUCUCUGUCGAUCAGACAAUAAGAGCCUCAUGUCCCUUGUCCUCUCGGGGCCUGUCUUUGCACAUUCCAGGAUCUGGCAUAAUAUUACACGAAUCCCGAUUCCAGCGUUAUAACCUAAAUCUGGAUAGAACAUGGAGACAGGUAGGAAGGGAGAUGAUUCAUAAACUCCUGCCCCAUUUCCCCACCCCAUGUGGAAGGCAGGCAAACCUUCAGGUGGGGCCUUCCCUAUCGCAUCACUUCUGCACUUCACAAUGGCUCGGAGCUCUGCUUUGUGACCUCCUCCUCCAGCUCCUCCCCUCCUUUCUCACCUGAGAACCAGGAAGGUGUGGGCAGGUGGGCCCAGGGGUGAGGUGCCCUGGGCCUUGGGAUUCCUGGGGGAGGGUGGGUACCCCGGGGGGGAUCUUCUCCGGAGGUCCUAAGCCACUUGGGCAAAGAAAGGGAACAGAUCAAGUCAUCUAAUUGGACCAAAACACAACCAGCAUGCCCAAAUCCCUUGCGUUUCUCCGAGGGGUUGGACCAUUAUGCGGACAUGGGCUGCAGACAGCUGGGCCAUCGCUGUCAAUGGAAUAUCUUGGCUCAUCCUUCUUCUAGCUGCCCAUGCCUUGGGUGCUUCGAUCUUCUUAAGUCUGACUGAAAAAAUUCCUGCCAACACAACCAUCGAAGUCACAAGGAGUCCAGAGUAUCCUCAGGAAGGACAGGAUGUCAUUCUUAUCCCAGAAGGAAAGUUUGACGACAAGGUCUCUUGCCUGUGGUUCAGAGGUGGAAGAGAAAGAUAUCUCGAAAUCUUGGUCUAUCAACUAAAACCAACCAUUGCUAUCCACUAUAAGCCCGGUUACAACGGGCGCCAGACACCAGACGACGACUGCUCUCUGCACUUCGCCAAUGUUUCUUUUGAGGACAUGGCUCUCUAUGGAGUCCUGAUUGAAAGAAAGGGCAACAGAAUUGAAUAUGGGGAGAGAUUUCUACUAGUUCAAGAAGCAACACCAGAACCAACCGAACCAAAAGAGUCGAAAGUUCUAAGUUUAAGAACGAUUGCAGGAAUUGUCAUGGGGUGUCUCAUCGGCUCAGUCCUCGUUGUGGGCUUGAUUAGUUACCAAAGCUUUGAAAGCGCUGGAAGGUUAGAACCUACGUGGACCAUGAGACUUUCUUCUGAGGCCCUAACUCUAAGCCAGGACAGACAGCAGAGAUUAAAUCAACUAAAAUUAAGCAUGCAAAACAUUGGGCAAGAGAUUGGGAGUCAGGAGAAUUUAAGCCCUCAGAACAUCAUGCCUGGGUGA